CCCAAACUGAAAAUGUAAGUCAGGAUUUUAGUGAUUAUCUAAGCAUGUAGCACACAAAAUAUUUUCCGGCUUCAGGAUGCUGCUAUGAAGGCUUAGACUGGUGCUCUGAAACUUGGAGAACUGAAGAAAGAGCACCUCAGAUUGUGGCAGGUCAAAUACCCCUUCUUCAAACAACAGGUUCCCUCCCUGACCCUCAGUAUUUUCACAGGAGGACCUAGGAACAAUAUCGCCUUCUCAUGCAGGAAGAGGUGCCUUUGCAUUGGUUUGAACCGUGCCAGGUCCUUCACUUUUGAAUGACCUUUUUUAUGAUCAGUCCAUACAUUAAAGGAGCCUUGCAUUAGAAGUUUGCCG